UACGUAGGUGGCAAGCGUUGUCCGGAUUUACUGGGCGUAAAGAGCGCGCAGGCGGUCGUCCAAGUCGCGUGUGAAAGCCCCCGGCUCAACUGGGGAGGGUCACGCGAUACUGGUCGACUCGAAGGCAGGAGAGGGUAGUGGAAUUCCCGGUGUAGUGGUGAAAUGCGUAGAUAUCUGGAGGAACACCGGUGGCGAAGGCGGUCUGCUGGGCAGUAGCUGACACUGAGGCGCGACAGCGUGGGGAGCAAACAGG
rnacentral:rRNA from 1 species